UAAAUCCUACCGACAAUCAACUUCUAAAGCCCAGAAGAGAGGUAAUAUAAAAAGGCGUUGCUUUUGAAUUUAAACCUAAAUCACAGAGAGGCGUUGAGAUGGGGCGGGGGCGGAAGGUGGAGAUGGGGCGGAAGAUUAAGAUGGGACCGAAAGAGAUGAAGGAGAGGCACGAUCUUGCAAUGGCCAAAUACUAUGAAUCACUGAAUAAAUCCGAGGGGAAAAAUUUGCAGCUCAGUAGAGUAAAGAAAUACAACAGGAUCCAGUCAUCUGUGGUUCUCUCCAAACUUUUCAGACUAAAGUUAGUGCAAGAACAUACUCCAUAUUCGAUCUGAAGUGCACUGUUGCUAGACUUCUAGGCGAAACCAAGAAGACCAUCACAGGUGGUGAUGAUAUCAAGAUAGACCAUCCCAACUUGCCUGAGUUGCCUCAAGAGAGCCCUUUUGU